rnacentral:rRNA from 1 species
CCUACGGGUGGCAGCAGUAGGGAAUUUUCGGCAAUGGGCGAAAGCCUGACCGAGCAACGCCGCGUGAAGGAAGAAGUCAUUCGUGAUGUAAACUUCUGUUAUAAAGGAAGAACGGCGCCUGUAGGGAAUGACAGGCGAGUGACGGUACUUUAUGAGGAAGCCACGGCUAACUACGUGCCAGCAGCCGCGGUAAUACGUAGGUGGCGAGCGUUAUCCGGAAUCAUUGGGCGUAAAGAGGGAGCAGGCGGCAGUGCAGGUCUGCGGUGAAAGCCCGAAGCUAAACUUCGGUAAGCCGUGGAAACCGCACAGCUAGAGAGCAUCAGAGGAUCGCGGAAUUCCAUGUGUAGCGGUGAAAUGCGUAGAUAUAUGGAGCAACACCAGUGGCGAAGGCGGCGGUCUGGGGUGCAGCUGACGCUCAGUCCCGAAAGCGUGGGGAGCAAAUAGGAUUAGAUACCCCGGUAGUC